UACGAAGGGGGCGAGCGUUGUUCGGAAUCACUGGGCGUAAAGCGCGUGUAGGCGGCCCACUAAGUCUGAUGUGAAAGCCCGGGGCUCACCCCCGGAAGUGCAUUGGAAACUGGUGGACUCGAGUCCCGGAGAGGAGAGUGGAAUUCCUGGUGUAGCGGUGAAAUGCGUAGAUAUCAGGAGGAACACCGGUGGCGAAGGCGGCUCUCUGGACGGUGACUGACGCUGAGACGCGAAAGCGUGGGGAGCAAACAGG
rnacentral:rRNA from 1 species